UCGGGAAUUUUGGGCAAUGGGCGAAAGCCUGACCCAGCAACGCCGCGUGAAGGAUGAAGUCUUUCGGGAUGUAAACUUCGUAAAAAUAGGAAGAAUAAAUGACGGUACUAUUUGUAAGGUCCGGCUAACUACGUGCCAGCAGCCGCGGUAAUACGUAGGGACCAAGCGUUGUUCAGAUUUACUGGGCGUAAAGGGCGCGUAGGCGGCGUGGUAAGUCACUUGUGAAAUCUCCGAGCUUAACUCGGAACGGUCAAGUGAUACUGCUGUGCUAGAGUACAGAAGGGGCAAUCGGAAUUCUUGGUGUAGCGGUGAAAUGCGUAGAUAUCAAGAGGAACACCUGAGGUGAAGACGGGUUGCUGGGCUGAUACUGACGCUGAGGCGCGAAAGCUAGGGUAGCAAACGGGAUUAGAUACCCAAGUAGUCCCUGAGCGGGCUGGCAAGGCGCAU
rnacentral:rRNA from 1 species